GAUAGCAACCAGUCUACACGGGAAUGCGAGGACAGCCUACAGUCGGCAUGCUCCGAAAUAGAAAUCUUCCCCAAAUCACUCAAGGGAGAGGAAAUUGUGUGAGAGGCGGCAUGUGAGAACCUCGUCUCCGCUGAUGACGUAAUGGGACAGGCCAAUGAUGACGUAAUGGACUAUGUCUACGUCACAGUUCGCGGUGACGUAAUGGUCGCUUGACAGAUCCUCUAGCAGCCGCCACAAGCACCGCCCACUGCCCCUGCCUCGCCACGCCCCCGUCAUGCGGGUGGCGGGCACCAGGGGCAAGAGGAGGGUGGUCUCUCUCCUGCUGGUGCUCCUGCUCGCUCACCUGCUCCUGCUGCUGCUGCUGCUGUUGCUGCUGCGGCCGGACCCCCAGCCGCCCCUGCCGCCCCCCGCCGACCAAG